rnacentral:tRNA from 1 species
GGAACCAUAGCUCAGUCGGUUAGAGCAGGUGACUCAUAAUCUCCGGGUCGGCGGUUCAAGUCCGUCUGGUUCCACCA